UUGAUCAUGGCUCAGGACGAACGCUGGCGGCGUGCUUAACACAUGCAAGUCGAACGAGAAUCUACUGAAAGAGUUUUCGGACAAUGGAAGUAGAGGAAAGUGGCGGACGGGUGAGUAACGCGUGAGGAACCUGCCUUGAAGAGGGGGACAACAGUUGGAAACGACUGCUAAUACCGCAUGACGCAUAGAGGUCGCAUGAUCUUUAUGCCAAAGAUUUAUCGCUUCAAGAUGGCCUCGCGUCUGAUUAGCUAGUUGGCGGGGUAACGGCCCACCAAGGCGACGAUCAGUAGCCGGACUGAGAGGUUGAACGGCCACAUUGGGACUGAGAUACGGCCCAGACUCCUACGGGAGGCAGCAGUGGGGAAUAUUGGGCAAUGGGCGCAAGCCUGACCCAGCAACGCCGCGUGAAGGAAGAAGGCUUUCGGGUUGUAAACUUCUUUUAAGAGGGAAGAGCAGAAGACGGUACCUCUAGAAUAAGCCACGGCUAACUACGUGCCAGCAGCCGCGGUAAUACGUAGGUGGCAAGCGUUGUCCGGAUUUACUGGGUGUAAAGGGCGUGCAGCCGGGUCUGCAAGUCAGAUGUGAAAUCCAUGGGCUCAACCCAUGAACUGCAUUUGAAACUGUAGAUCUUGAGUGUCGGAGGGGCAAUCGGAAUUCCUAGUGUAGCGGUGAAAUGCGUAGAUAUUAGGAGGAACACCAGUGGCGAAGGCGGAUUGCUGGACGAUAACUGACGGUGAGGCGCGAAAGUGUGGGGAGCAAACAGGAUUAGAUACCCUGGUAGUCCACACUGUAAACGAUGAAUACUAGGUGUGCGGGGACUGACCCCCUGCGUGCCGCAGUAAACACAAUAAGUAUUCCACCUGGGGAGUACGAUCGCAAGGUUGCAACUCAAAUGAAUUGACGG
rnacentral:rRNA from 1 species